rnacentral:misc_RNA from 1 species
UUGUUUUGUUUACGACAUUUCACGUUCUUUGGACAAUGUUUGGGUUGGUAGUCCCACGUCCCGAGGGACGUGGGAACGGUUCACGGUGUGGGUGGAUAUGAAAACGGCCGGAGCCAAUCUCUAAUGAUCCUUCCGCAGGUUCACCUACGGAAA